rnacentral:lncRNA from 1 species
AUGCUGUCGCGGAGUUGAGGGAUUUACUUAGCACUGUUACACUAACGAAUAACGGCGACGAAGUAAGAUGGAGAUGGAAUCAUUCCGAAGUUUUUACAGUUAAAUCAUUGUAUAACUUCCUACAGGAGAGUAAGGUAACAGAGACGAAUUAGGAACGAAUAUGGAGAACCAACAUACAUUUAAAAGUUAAAAUUUUUGGUUGGCUUGUGGUGAAAC